AUUGAACGCUGGCGGCAUGCUUUACACAUGCAAGUCGAACGGGGUGGGGGGCAACUCCCAUUCAGUGGCGAACGGGUGAGUAAUGCAUCGGAACGUACCCCGGAGUGGGGGAUAACGCCGCGAAAGCGGCGCUAAUACCGCAUAUGCUCUGAGGAGGAAAGUGGGGGACCGCAAGGCCUCACGCUCUGGGAGCGGCCGAUGUCCGAUUAGCUAGUUGGUGGGGUAAUGGCCCACCUAGGCGACGAUCGGUAGCUGGUCUGAGAGGAUGAUCAGCCACACUGGGACUGAGACACGGCCCAGACUCCUACGGGAGGCAGCAGUGGGGAAUUUUGGACAAUGGGGGCAACCCUGAUCCAGCCAUGCCGCGUGCGGGAAGAAGGCCUUCGGGUUGUAAACCGCUUUUAGUCGGGAAGAAAAGGCCAGGUCUAAUACACCUGGUUCUUGACGGUACCGGCGGAAUAAGCACCGGCUAACUACGUGCCAGCCGCCGCCGUAAAAC
rnacentral:rRNA from 1 species